UGGUGCCUGUCUGGAAAACGGCAGCCACUGGACCUUGUUUUUUUGUGACAUACCCAAGAGGACCAUAGUCUAUAUGAAUUCAUUUGGCGAGUCGGAGGUCAGAAAAAGUGCGGUGUUGAAAAACUGGAGCUCAUUUGCUUCAGCAAGAGGCUGCACUGGAGAGUGGACCUUGUCACAUGUGAGCCACCCACAUCAACAGGAUGGGAACUCAUGUGGAGUGCAUGUCAUAAUGUUUGCCCAAUCUCUCAUUGACGGUAAAACACAAGUGGAGGAGUACAACACUGAAAUCACAAAGCUCAGGUCCCGACUUUGCC